rnacentral:rRNA from 1 species
UACGUAGGGUGCGAGCGUUGUCCGGAAUUAUUGGGCGUAAAGAGCUUGUAGGCGGUUUGUCGUGUCUGCUGUGAAAAUCCGGGGCUCAACCCCGGACUUGCAGUGGGUACGGGCAGACUAGAGUGUGGUAGGGGAGACUGGAAUUCCUGGUGUAGCGGUGAAAUGCGCAGAUAUCAGGAGGAACACCGAUGGCGAAGGCAGGUCUCUGGGCCACUACUGACGCUGAGAAGCGAAAUCAUGGGGAGCGAACAGGAUUAGAUA